UCACCAAACCCUAAUCGGUUUCCUAUCUUUCGCUCUCGAGUCUAUAUAUAGAAAGCGGAGGAUAUCGAUUUCAUCAGUUUGCAGCUACUGCAGCUCGUAGGUUUCGCAUCGAUUCGGUUAUCAGAUUUUAAUCUCAGUCUUGUUUGUUGAUUCUCAUGCAAAUGAACUGCAAUCAACAAAUGCUGCUCUGUGUAUGCUUAUUCCUCUUAUUUGAGAACACUUCAUUACCUGCAUUUCUUGGCAGCAAUAACCAAGGGCACCUAUUCCUGAUGUGAAAGAGUAUCCAGCUCUUCGACCCGACUAAUCUUGGAGAUGACCGGUCUGGUCCCGUGGAAGUUUUCUAUUAGCCAUCAGAAUAAAUCGGGAAGUGCUCGUAGAUGUCCAUCAAAGUGGUCAAUGUUCUUAGAGUUGUUAUCCUACUAGAGGAAAAUCCUUACAGUACGCCGUAGCUAGGAUUUGACCCUUGGAUGCUUGAUUAACCGUUUAAAAGAUCUAACCGUUGUAUCAUUGCCUGGGGAAAGCAUAUGAGAUAGCAUCAGAGUAAAUUGCUUUGAGUUGUUUCAGUAUAACUGAGAAUGAAUUUCCAAGUGUCGUUUGGCAUGUCUUGCUCCCCUUCUCAUCCUAUGGUCUCAUCUAUCCUCCAAAAGUUAUCAGUGAAUUUGAUCUACUCGUAGAGUCCUGGUUGCAAAUCUUAUCCACCCUAAGCCAUUGAAAGCCAGUUUGUUUAUUAGAAACAACCUGAACUGGAGGAUAGACACUUUAAAUACUGUUGGAAGAUAUGGUUUUGAUAUCUUCUCCUUUGCAUGUACCUUAGCCUAGUUAGACUGAUGGAAUUAGAGAGAUAACUAAGUAAAUGAUGAAGAAUGCUUUAAUCUAACUUGCAGCAUUAGGAAAUUUGAUUCAACUCUUUGCUCUUUCAGACACUGAUAUAUUUCUGGUCCAUACUCUUGACUACAAUUCAUGAACUCAUUGCAUUGUUGUCAUUGCAUUGUUGUCACUGUAUUGAUGAAAUGAAUAGAACGAAUAAGUAGAUAGUUGAAUCUUCUGUGAUCGUUGAGUGUUUCUUAGAUUAAAAGAUAAAUUUUAUAUGACUAUGGUAUGACUUGUCAUGCUCUAUGGAUUAGAUUAUUAACUAUUAGAACAUGACAUAUACAAAAAUUCAUACAGUAAAGUGGUGAAUGUUAAGAUUGAUGUGUUAAGUUAUUAGAAAGGACAAGAUUGAUGUGUAAAAGUUAUUCGAAAGGACACGAUGAGAAAAAUAUUAAUAUCCAAGAACAAUCAAGUGAAGUUUCAAUAAGUGAUAAAGUGAAAGUAGAUUUAAAUGAUAUGUAGAUGUUUAAAGUGUUUUUAUUGCAAAUGCCUCUAAUAUCAUAAGAAGGGAUUGAAUGCCACUUUAGUACCACUUGGUAGCCCAGUGAUGAUUUUUUCCUUAGGUGCAUAAGCGGCUGGAUUAAUGUCAACAAUGUGGUCAAUGAAAACUUAGUAGGAGAACACCCGCCGUCAUCUUGAAAGCAUUGAGAUAACUGCUCCCGCAAAUUGUAUAUCUAUUAGGCGAUAUUUGUAUGACUACGUUGUUCAGCUUCUGAUUUCAUUAGGAACUAGAUGGUGCCUUUAUCCCCUAAAUUCAAUGCAGAUGGAUAUCAAACAAUCAGCUUCUUAUAAUGCCACUCAGAGCUUCCUUGUCAAGCCACUUGGCGAAAGAUCAAUGCAAAGUUAUUCACCUAAAGACAUUUGAUUGAUUAAUUUGUAACAUGAAGAAGGUUGAGCAAAUGUGCCUUGGUAUUCUCCAUGAAUUAAAAAAACGUUUCUUAUAUGGAAGUAUCUCUGAGUGAAUUGAUCAUUUUACAUCGGAGAGCUAAAGAGAAGAAGCUUCAGGGAUAGUUAUUAGCACUAACAAUUGGUCUUAUUUUAUUACCUGACAAGACAUUUCUGUUGAUUCCAGAUGUAUAUUGUCUUAACUUUGCUGCUGAAAAUUUUAGUAGCUUUCUGGCUUGCCUCGUAAGUUUUGUAAAGCAGAACCUUUCUGGCUCGGCUUGUAUCUAUUCACAUUUUCCUACAAUUUAUUUGUUUAUGUAAGUUCAUCAAUAUGAAAAAAAAAAUGCAUUUCAUUCCUCUGUUUAUUUCAGAUUUUCUGAUAGAGUCUUAUGAGUUGUUGCUUCUGGGCAUAAGCUCUGCGCUUUUUUAGCUGUUGCAGCGGCAACGAUAGCUUCCAAGAACUGGGAAGCAUUUGUUUCCUGUUAUUGAGGCUUGAGGCAUGAUGGCUAACCACUGCUAACUACUAAUUUCGUGUGCGCUCGUCUUCGAUGAUUAAACCAGAAGACUUCAUCUAAAAUUUAUGCUUACUUUUCUCAAAUCAAUCCAGGGGUCUGAAGUCUGAAGCUUUCUACAAAUAUAAGAGUCACGAAGCAUCCAUAUCUUGGGAUAAGAAUCUCACAAGGGAUCAUGGAAACUAAUUGGAGGACUGAUGUAAGCCCAAUCAUUCCUCCAUUCACAUCCACAACCAUCUUCCCCACUUUCGUAUCUCAUAUUCAAAUGCCCUCACUGUCACUGCAAAUGAUCAUUAACAUACUCCAAAGUGGUGGUUAUUGCCACUCACAUCACUUUGUGCUGCUCUUUGUAGUCUUUCUUUCUCCCAACAAAGAUAUACUGUCACAGUCAGCUUGAUCCAUGGCAUCUGAAACGUGACCUGCCAUCCCUAGACUAGUAUAUAUGCUGAUCCACCAUUGGUGGCCAUUGGAACACCUGAGGCUGCGGAUUUAAUACUGCAAAUGGCAUUGAAUUGGAGGAAAAGUACUCCUAGAAAUGAUGGGCAGCGUGCUAGAUGGGAGGUGGUGGAUACAAACAACUUGCCUUUUUUUUAAAUACAUGGUUCAUUAGGUGAUAAGGGGAAUCUUCUUGAGUUGCAUCAAUCCUUAAUCAUCCUUUAGGAGGAUUGAUAACUUUUAGGCCUUUUUUGUCCUUUCAAUUAGUGAGUUUAUUUUUAGAGAGAUGACUAAUAGCAAAUAUAUAGUAAUGAAGCUUCAAGACAUUUAUCUUGUACAACUUUGUAAAUUUUAUACAUCGAGGAGAAGAUUCUUGUGUGCCA